rnacentral:rRNA from 1 species
AUUGAACGCUGGCGGCAUGCCUAACACAUGCAAGUCGAGCGCGCAGCGCACGGGUGAGUGAUGUAUGGGGACUGCCCGUUAGAGGGGGGUAACUACUGGAAACGGUGUCUAAUACCGCGUACUGUCUGAGAACCCAUAUGGGAUGAUCUAGUAGGAAUGGUAAUGGCUUACCUAGGCGACGCUCCCUAGCUGGUCUGAGAGGGUGAUCAGCCACGAUGGGACGGAGACAAGGUCCAGACUCCUACGGAGGCAGCAGUGGGGAAUAUUGCACAAUGGGCGCAAGCCUGAUGCAGCCAUGCCGCGUGUAUGAAGAAGGCCUUAGGGUUGUAAAGUACUUUCAGUGGGGAGGCGUUACCGACAGAAGAAGCACCGGCUAACUCCGUGCCAGCAGCCGCGGUAAUAC